ensembl:snoRNA
CUGCAUGUUUUGGCCCUGGGCCAUUGUUGGUCUCUCGAUUUCUGUGGAGAGAACAAGCGCAAACAUGCUAGAUUAAUACUUUGGGAGUUAUCAGGGCCACCAGAUUCUGAAGGCCAGGCUGAGUUGGUAGUAUAAUACUCCCACAUGG